AAAUUGAAGAGUUUGAUCAUGGCUCAGAUUGAACGCUGGCGGCAGGCCUAACACAUGCAAGUCGAACGGUAGCACAGAGAGCUUGCUCUCGGGUGACGAGUGGCGGACGGGUGAGUAAUGUCUGGGAAACUGCCUGAUGGAGGGGGAUAACUACUGGAAACGGUGGCUAAUACCGCAUAACGUCGCGAGACCAAAGAGGGGGACCUUCGGGCCUCUUGCCAUCAGAUGUGCCCA
rnacentral:rRNA from 1 species